UUGACCUCGGAUCAGGUAGGAAUACCCGCUGAACUUAAGCUAUAUCAAUAAGCGGAGGA
rnacentral:rRNA from 2 species